GACGAACGCUGGCGGCGUGCUUAACACAUGCAAGUCGAACGGAAAGGCCUCUUUCGGGGGGUACUCGAGUGGCGAACGGGUGAGUAACACGUGAGUAACCUGCCCUUGACUUUGGGAUAACUUCAGGAAACUGGGGCUAAUACCGGAUAGGAGCUCCUGCUGCAUGGUGGGGGUUGGAAAGUUUCGGCGGUUGGGGAUGGACUCGCGGCUUAUCAGCUUGUUGGUGGGGUAGUGGCUUACCAAGGCUUUGACGGGUAGCCGGCCUGAGAGGGUGACCGGCCACAUUGGGACUGAGAUACGGCCCAGACUCCUACGGGAGGCAGCAGUGGGGAAUAUUGCACAAUGGGUGGAAGCCUGAUGCAGCAUCGCCGUGUGCGGGAUGACGGCCUUCGGGUUGUAAACCGCUUUCGCUCAUGACGAAGCUUUGUGUGACGGUAGUGGGUAAAGAAGCACCGGCUAACUACGUG
rnacentral:rRNA from 1 species